rnacentral:rRNA from 1 species
GCCAGACUCCUACGGGAGGCAGCAGUGGGGAAUAUUGCACAAUGGGGGGAACCCUGAUGCAGCGACGCCGCGUGGGUGAAGGAGCACCUCGGUGCGUAAAGCCCUAUCGGCAGGGAAGAAACAGACGGUACCUGACUAAGAAGCCCCGGCUAACUACGUGCCAGCAGCCGCGGUAAUACGUAGGGGGCAAGCGUUAUCCGGAUUCACUGGGUGUAAAGGGAGCGUAGACGGCGACGCAAGUCUGGAGUGAAAGCCCGGGGCCCAACCCCGGGACUGCUCUUGGAACUGCGUGGCUGGAGUGCAGGAGGGGCAGGCGGAAUUCCUGGUGUAGCGGUGAAAUGCGUAGAUAUCAGGAGGAACACCGGUGGCGAAGGCGGCCUGCUGGACUGCAACUGACGUUGAGGCCCGAAAGCGUGGGGAGCAAACAGGAUUAGAUACCCCCGUAGA